GCAGCAAUAGCAGAAGCAGCAGAGGAGGAUCGAGGCAGAUUUCUAGACCACCAUUAUGGAUUGAGACGAAGAGGGAACCCUGCCAUCAUGACCAGGCCAGCUGGAGUCAUCACUUGGACGUCAUCGUCAACGUUGAGAGAGGAGAAGGAGCACACACGAGGACUGCAGCACUCCCAAUCCCACAUCUCCCAAUCCUACAUCUCCCAAUCCUAACCCUCGGGAGCUAAUCCAGAUUUGGGAAUGUCGCGCAUAGAUUGCUGAGUGGACAAAACCGCACAGCCAGAAUCUGUACACUCUUCUUCUCUGAUCAUCUUCAUGGUUUUGUUUGUGGACGAUCCACCACGACCUCAAACCACCCCAGCGACUCAUUUGUCUUCUUUUAGCCCCAGUUUAGAGACUGAUUUUGGGCUUCCGGGCGUCGUGGUAACCUGGUAGUUUGGCCCUCACACAGGUCCAGCCUUCUCCUGACAGGGCCUGGAUUUACUGCUGCAGUCCUGGGAGUCAGGUUUCAUGCAACCAUUCCAAUGGUGUAACGGUAAGUGUUUUUCCUCAACCUUCUGCCAAGUCAAUGUAAUGCAGUCUGUAGCUUACACAUCCUGUGUGUUCCACUAUAACCCUCCCCCCUCCA
rnacentral:lncRNA from 13 species